GAUCUCUAUAUCCUAAGAUACUGAGAGUAUGAAAUGUAGGAAUGUAAGUAAACCAUGAGCCUAAGCUCCUUGAUUCCCAUUUUCUCUGGAGGGGUGUUGAGGGCAAGAGUACCACGCCUAAGAGAAUGGGCACUAUGGGUUCGUGUGUGGGGUGAGGGUGAUGUCUGUAGUAGAUGUUAGCUAUUAUUAUUAUUUUCCAAGAAGAUAUUUCAUUCCCUUAUAUAUUAUGGCUUGUAAGUGGAUAUUUUUCUGUUAUGGAUACUAGCAGGGAUAUAAGGGAUCCUGCUGUUUGCAGAAAAAUACCACAA
rnacentral:lncRNA from 1 species